rnacentral:rRNA from 1 species
CCCGCACAAGCGGUGGAGCAUGUGGUUUAAUUCGAUGGUACGCGAGAAACCUUACCAGGGCUUGACAUACACCGGAAGCGCCGUGAAAGCGGCGUGCCGCUUGCGGCCGGUGAACAGGUGCUGCAUGGCUGUCGUCAGCUCGUGCUGUGAAGUGUUGGGUUAACGUCCCGCAACGAGCGCCAACCCCUGCCGUCUGUUGCCACCACGAAAGGGUGGGGACUCAGGCGGGACCGCCGGUGACAAACCGGAGGAAGGUGGGGACGACGUCAAGUCAUCAUGGCCCUUAUGUCCUGGGCCACACACGUGCUACAAUGGCCGGUACAGAGCGCAGCGAGGCCGCGAGGCGGAGCGAAUCGCUUAAAGCCGGUCCCAGUACGGAUUGGAGUCUGCAACCCGACUCCAUGAAGUUGGAAUCGCUAGUAAUCGCGCAUCAGCAUGGCGCGGUGAAUACGUUCCCGGGCCUU